UACAUGCUCCCUCUGUCCGAAAAAGCUUGUCCCUCAAAUGGAUGUAUCUAAGCACCAAGUUAGUACUAGAUGCAUCCAUUUGAGGAACAAGUUUGGGACAAGUUUUUUCGGACGGAGGGAGUAGUAA
rfam:Triticum aestivum genome assembly, contig: Triticum_aestivum_CS42_TGACv1_scaffold_177259_2DS